GGGGGAGCGAGGCAGCAGCCCCCCUGGCUUCCAGAGGUGCCAAGCCUCCUGCCUUCCAGGCGAAGAAGGAGGACAGCCCCGGCAGCCUGCGGAUCGUGGUUGGAUGGACACGGUGGCACCAGCGGGCUGGAACUGUCCCUGGGCAGGUGAUGACUCCACACUGCCAUGCUGCAAAUUCUCCUGUGCCUCGAUGACACCAUCAUGAUGCUCCUGUCCCAUCUGGACUCAGCACCCAGCCUUGAGCCUCUCACCCAAGGUGUAGCAUCAAUGGCCUUCCCACUGAACUUCCCUGUGGAAAGGUGAUUUUGGAGACUGGACACCAGUUCUGACUGGUGGGACUAUCUCAUAAUGGAGUAGUGGGACGACCAGCAUUGGCUCUGAAACUUCCGUAUGCAGAAGGCUGCAUUCCAGGAGCUGUGUGCCUGGCUUGCUCCUGCCCUACAAUGACAGGGCACUCACUUGCAGCCUGCCAUCCCCCUGGAGAAGCAGGUCACUAUUGCCCUGUGGAAGCUGGCAACCCCUGACAACUACUGCUUGGUGGGACACCAAUUUGGUGUGGGGAGGUCUACUGUGGGGGACUACUUGAUGGAGAGAUUAGGAUUAGGAAGCCUAACCCAAAC